rnacentral:rRNA from 1 species
GGGGGCACCCUGACCGAGCAACGCCGCGUGAGUGAAGAAGGUUUUCGGAUCGUAAAGCUCUGUUGUAAGUCAAGAACGAGUGUGAGAGUGGAAAGUUCACACUGUGACGGUAGCUUACCAGAAGGGGACGGCUAACUACGUGCCAGCAGCCGCGGUAAUACGUAGGUCCCGAGCGUUGUCCGGAUUUAUUGGGCGUAAAGCGAGCGCAGGCGGUUUGAUAAGUCUGAAGUUAAAGGCUGUGGCUCAACCAUAGUUCGCUUUGAAAACUGUCAAACUUGAGUGCAGAAGGGGAGAGUGGAAUUCCAUGUGUAGCGGUGAAAUGCGUAGAUAUAUGGAGGAACACCGGUGGCGAAAGCGGCUCUCUGGUCUGUAACUGACGCUGAGGCUCGAAAGCGUGGGGAGCGAACAGGAUUAGAUACCCUGGUAGUCCACGCCGUAAACGAUGAGCGCUAGGUGUUGGAUCCUUUCCGGGAUUCAGUGCCGCAGCUAACGCAUUAAGCACUCCGCCUGGGGAGUACGACCGCAAGGUUGAAACUCAAAGGAAUUGACGGGGGCCCGCACAAGCGGUGGAGCAUGUGGUUUAAUUCGAAGCAACGCGAAGAACCUUACCAGGUCUUGACAUCCCGAUGCUAUUUCUAGAGAUAGAAAGUUACUUCGGUACAUCGGUGACAGGUGGUGCAUGG